UCGAACGGUAAGGUCUCUUCGGAGAUACACGAGUGGCGCACGGGUGCGUAACGCGUAUGCAACCUACCUUUAACUGGGAAAUAGCCCCGAGAAAUCGGGAUUAAUGUCCCAUAUUAUUCUGAGAAUGCAUAUUCUUAGAAUGAAAGCUCCGGCGGUUAUUGAUGGGCAUGCGUGACAUUAGCUAGUUGGUGAGGUAACGGCCCACCAAGGCUACGAUGUCUAGGGGUCCUGAGAGGGUUAACCCCCACACUGGUACUGAGACACGGACCAGACUCCUACGGGAGGCAGCAGUAAGGAAUAUUGGGCAAUGGACGCAAGUCUGACCCAGCCAUGCCGCGUGAAGGAUGAAUGUCCUAUGGAUUGUAAACUUCUUUUAUGCAGGAAAAACAUCCCGGUCGUGAACCGGGACUGAUGGUACUGUAUGAAUAAGCAUCGGCUAACUCCGUGCCAGCAGCCGCGGUAAUACGGAGGAUGCAAGCGUUAUCCGGAUUCAUUGGGUUUAAAGGGUGCGCAGGCGGAAUGAUAAGUCAGUGGUGAAAUCUCCCGGCUC
rnacentral:rRNA from 1 species